AAUUUUGGACAAUGGGCGCAAGCCUUAUCCAGCCAUGCCGCGUGAGCGAAGAAGGCCUUCGGGUUGUAAAGCUCUUUCGGACGGUACGAAAUCGCGCAGGCUAAUACACUGCGCGGAUGUCGGUACCGUCAUAAAAAGGACCGGCUAACUACGUGCCAGCAGCCGCGGUAAUACGUAGGGUGCGCGCGUUAAGCGGAAUUACUGGGCGUAAAGCGUGCGCAGGCGGUUGAUUAAGACAGGCGGGAAAUCCCCGGGCUUAACCUGGGAACUGGGGUUGUGACUGGUCAGGUAGAGUACGGCAAAGGGGGGUGGAAUUCCACGUGUAGCAGGGAAAUGCGUAGAGAUGUGGAGGAACACCGAUGGCGAAGGCAGCCCCCUGGGCCGAUACUGACGCUCAUGCACGAAAGCGUGGGUAGCAAAC
rnacentral:rRNA from 1 species